GACAGAGGGGGCAAGCGUUGCUCGGAAUCACUGGGCGUAAAGGGCGCGUAGGUGGGAUGGCAAGUCAGUCGUGAAAUCUCUCGGCUCAACCGAGAAACGUCGGCUGAUACUGCCGUUCUUGAGGGAUGCAGAGGAGACUGGAAUUCCCGGUGUAGCGGUGAAAUGUGUAGAGAUCGGGAGGAACACCGGUGGCGAAGGCGGCAUCCUGGACCGGUAUUGACGCUGAGGCGCGAAAGCUAGGGGAGCAAACGGG
rnacentral:rRNA from 1 species